rnacentral:siRNA from 1 species
AAUGUAGGAGACAAGAAAUAUAAA